UGGGGAAUAUUGGACAAUGGGCGAAAGCCUGAUCCAGCCAUGCCGCGUGUGUGAAGAAGGUCUUCGGAUUGUAAAGCACUUUAAGUUGGGAGGAAGGGCAGUGAGCGAAUACCUUGCUGUUUUGACGUUACCGACAGAAUAAGCACCGGCUAACUCUGUGCCAGCAGCCGCGGUAAUACAGAGGGUGCAAGCGUUAAUCGGAAUUACUGGGCGUAAAGCGCGCGUAGGUGGUUCGUUAAGUUGAAUGUGAAAGCCCCGGGCUCAACCUGGGAACUGCAUCCAAAACUGGCGAGCUAGAGUAGGGCAGAGGGUGGUGGAAUUUCCUGUGUAGCGGUGAAAUGCGUAGAUAUAGGAAGGAACACCAGUGGCGAAGGCGACCACCUGGGCUCAUACUGACACUGAGGUGCGAAAGCGUGGGGAGCAAACAGG
rnacentral:rRNA from 1 species